rnacentral:rRNA from 1 species
AUUGAACGCUGGCGGCAUGCCUUACACAUGCAAGUCGAACGGUAACAGGUCUUCGGAUGCUGACGAGUGGCGAACGGGUGAGUAAUACAUCGGGACGUGCCUAGUAGUGGGGGAUAACUACUCGAAAGAGUGGCUAAUACCGCAUGAGAUCUACGGAUGAAAGCAGGGGAUCGCAAGACCUUGUGCUACUAGAGCGGCCGAUGGCAGAUUAGGUCGUUGGGGGGAUAAAAGCUUACCAAGCCGACGAUCUGUAGCUGGUCUGAGAGGACGAUCAGCCACACUGGGACUGAGACACGGCCCAGACUCCUACGGGAGGCAGCAGUGGGGAAUUUUGGACAAUGGGCGCAAGCCUGAUCCAGCAAUGCCGCGUGCAGGAUGAAGGCCUUCGGGUUGUAAACUGCUUUUGUACGGAACGAAAAGCCCUGGGUUAAUACCCUGGGGUCAUGACGGUACCGUAAGAAUAAGCACCGGCUAACUACGUGCCAGCCGCCGCCGUAA